rnacentral:rRNA from 1 species
UGAACGCUGGCGGCAUGCCUUACACAUGCAAGUCGAACGGCAGCAUGAUCUAGCUUGCUAGAUUGAUGGCGAGUGGCGAACGGGUGAGUAAUACAUCGGAACGUGCCCUGUAGUGGGGGAUAACUAGUCGAAAGAUUAGCUAAUACCGCAUACGACCUGAGGGUGAAAGUGGGGGACCGCAAGGCCUCAUGCUAUAGGAGCGGCCGAUGUCUGAUUAGCUAGUUGGUGAGGUAAAGGCUCACCAAGGCGACGAUCAGUAGCUGGUCUGAGAGGACGAUCAGCCACACUGGGACUGAGACACGGCCCAGACUCCUACGGGAGGCAGCAGUGGGGAAUUUUGGACAAUGGGGGCAACCCUGAUCCAGCAAUGCCGCGUGUGUGAAGAAGGCCUUCGGGUUGUAAAGCACUUUUGUCCGGAAAGAAAUCGCACUUACUAAUAUUAGGUGUGGAUGACGGUACCGGAAGAAUAAGGACCGGCUAACUACGUGCCAGCAGCCGCGGUAAUACGUAGGGUCCAAGCGUUAAUCGGAAUUACUGGGCGUAAAGCGUGCGCAGGCGGUUGUGCAAGACCGAUGUGAAAUCCCCGGGCUUAACCUGGGAAUUGCAUUGGUGACUGCACGGCUAGAGUGUGUCAGAGGGGGGGUAGAAUUUCCACGUGUAGCAGUGAAAUGCGUAGAGAUGUGGAGGAAUACCGAUGGCGAAGGCAGCCCCCUGGGAUAACACUGACGCUCAUGCACGAAAGCGUGGGGAGCAAACAGGAUUAGAUACCCCUGGUAGUCCACGCCCUAAACGAUGUCAACUAGUUGUUUGGGGAUUCAUUUCCUUAGUAACGUAGCUAACGCGUGAAGUUGACCGCCUGGGGAGUACGGUCGCAAGAUUAAAACUCAAAGGAAUUGACGGGGACCCGCACAAGCGGUGGAUGAUGUGGAUUAAUUCGAUGCAACGCGAAAAACCUUACCUACCCUUGACAUGCCACUAACGAAGCAGAGAUGCAUUAGGUGCUCGAAAGAGAAAGUGGACGCAGGUGCUGCAUGGCUGUCGUCAGCUCGUGUCGUGAGAUGUUGGGUUAAGUCCCGCAACGAGCGCAACCCUUGUCUCUAGUUGCUACGAAAGGGCACUCUAGAGAGACUGCCGGUGACAAACCGGAGGAAGGUGGGGAUGACGUCAAGUCCUCAUGGCCCUUAUGGGUAGGGCUUCACACGUCAUACAAUGGUGCAUACAGAGGGUUGCCAAGCCGCGAGGUGGAGCUAAUCCCAGAAAAUGCAUCGUAGUCCGGAUCGUAGUCUGCAACUCGACUACGUGAAGCUGGAAUCGCUAGUAAUCGCGGAUCAGCAUGCCGCGGUGAAUACGUUCCCGGGUCUUGUACACACCGC